rnacentral:ncRNA from 1 species
UUUAUUUAGAGUUUGAUCCUAGCUCAGGAUGAACGCUGGCGGCGUGGAUAAGGCAUGCAAGUCGAACGAAAGAGUCCCAUGAAUGUAUGAGAAACUUGAAAGUAGCAAUACGAUUGAGAAUCAAUUAUUGGAUUGGGGUUUCUCUUUAGUGGCGAACGAGGUAGUAAUACAUAGGAACUUCCCCCAAAGUCGUGAAUAAUCCGGAGAAAUCCGGACUAAUACACGAUGGUCCCUUACGGGUAAAGUUUUAACGCUUUGGGAGAGGCCUGUGCGAUAUCAGCUAGUUGGUAGGGUAAUGGCCUACCAAGGCGAUGACG